rnacentral:sRNA from 1 species
UGACAUUUACGAUGACAAGUCCUCUUAACAUACUUAUUGGGUUGAUUCAGAUGCACCACCAUCUUCUUAAAUGACA